CACAUCCGGCGCUGCCCGCACUCCGAAAUCCUCAGGGCAGAAGUUACGACUAGUAAGGGCGGAAGUGGCUUCUGCCCAGCGACGCGGUAGAGCCCUGUGUGGAUGUGACGUCACAACGGAAGCGAAGGCGGGUUCCGUUAAGGGCAGAAGUUGAACCUUCAGAACUGCGGUCCCGGGCUUCCGGAAGGGACUUCUGGGGAAGUGGGAGGGUGGAAACCGACAGGUUUAUGAAUUAUGCAUCAGGUACGAGAGGAGGGUUCAUAAGCAGAACCAGGGGACUCAGGUAUCUUGCAAAGGCUUUAUUUGAAAAUUUUGAAACUUACAUCCCACAAGAAUUCAAGAUUAUCACCACAAGAAGAAAGAGAUAAUACAAAAAUAUAUAUCACAGCAUAGGAGCCAGCAGGCGCCUGGCAAGUUUAGUUCUAGUUCAAAAUCAGCUAAUGACCUGGACACCUGAGUCUAAUGAUUCUCUCAGUAAAGUGUGAAGGACUGAGCGACCCAUUAUUAAAUGCAUGCAAAGAGCUCUGGACUUUCUCCCUUCCCCCCCAGGCAGCCCCAGGAAGGAGCUGUGCAGAACAGCCAAACAUUGCUAAACAUCUGGUCCCCAUCUGCCAGCACCCUCCUCCUUGCAGCUUACCAGAACUUGAAGAUGAUGCCAGUGGCCACGAGAACAAUAAUGAUGGAGAUGUUCUCAGUUCCUUUCCUCCACGUUCCCAAAUCUGUAUGCAUGUGACGAGGAGGAGGCUGCAAGGUCAGAGAGAACCCCUCCCUCUGCACAGAAACUAAGGGUGUUCUUCUGCAUGGAAUACUCCCACUUCAUUUUCAAGGUCCAGCUCCAAUGUCAAUUCUUGGAAGGUGUCCUGAUCCCCAGGCAAAAGUAAUCUCUCCCUUCCCUCUUUUCCUAAAAACAUGCUGUGUAUGCUUCUAUUAGAGCACUUAUUACAUUGACUCA